UUGUUUGUUCAUUUAUUUUUCUCUCUAGAAGAAAGAGGUCCUCAAAACAAACCACCGAGCCUGGAGAGAGACCAGACAACACAGCACAGCUAAAUAUCAGUUCAGUGUGCAACAACCCUUCAGCUGCAACACAGAGAAAACCAGCAGAGGAGUCAGACGAUCUUCACUAUGCCAGCGUAAGCUUCUCUAAAAACCAGGAAGAUCCUCUCUACUCCAACAUCAGGCCAGCUCAGCCCAACAGACACAAGAAUGAAGAGGAGGAGGACGAAGAUGGUGUGGAGUACAGUGUUGUUAACUUUAAGAGUGCCAAUGCUUCAGCAGAGUGAGUCCAUGAGAAUUUUAUUCAUUCCCACCAUGUCAUUUUGUUGCAUCUACCUGUCAUUUUCAACCUGUUCUUAGAUAAUAUUGGGAUUUUUUUUAUAUUCACAGAUUAAGAUGUCAGGAGGUUUUGGAGAAUUUGUCUUCACUGUACAGCAUAAUCACCGACAUACCAAGAGUAUGAAUACAACAUGAAGCUGUGCUUCUGUGUGUCCUUUUCCACGGUGAUAUUAAAAUACAUUUGACAUUGACCUGGUCAACAAUUUAAUUCCUGUUCUAAAUCAAUGCACAAGGUGCCGUAUGUUAAACUGCAGGUGACAUUAACUUUACUUUGUGUUGUGAUAACGUUAUCUCUUAUUCUAACUAAAUAAAAUGUUGAACAUUAGGUUUGAGUUGACAUACUGUAUUAACUUUAUUGUUACAACAUCUAGCCUUGGUCAUUUUUCUAGGUUAGUAUAAUGAGUUAUUGUAUUGUUUUUUUUGUAUUCAUCCAUCCAUCGUUAACCGCAUAUCCCGCGUACAGGGUCACGGUGGGCUGGAGCCAAUCCCAGCUUACAUUUGGGCGAAAGGCGGGGUCUGGAACUUACCAUUACACAUUAAUGAGUUACACUAAUUGUGUGCUCAUCGCAAAACUUAAAUUUGUUUCUUUACUGUAGUUUUGUGUAUCUUAUUUUACACUGUUUUCACCAGGUGGCUGUAAUUAGACUAAAUAACCUGAUAUUUUAUUGAAGAAAAGCUGUGAAAACUGUCAGCAUAUCGUCCACUUUUAAUAUCUGUAGAUAAUAUAGAUGACCUCUGGCAAAGUUUUUAUUAUUUGUGUCUUCUUAUAUAUUUAGUAUGUGUCGAUAUGCUAGAUCCAGUAAAGGAAAAAGAAAAUAUUUUAAUUAAAAGUGGCCACGAGAUACUACCUCGGCCCCACGUUUUAAUUAGAAUAUUUUUUCUUUCCUUUACCAGAUCUAGCAGGGCUCUGUACUUUAUUCCUCUUUUUGCAAUAAAUUAUUCUGACACCA